CCGUGGCCUAAUUACCCAGUUCGGAAGUGAAAGCAGGAAAACAAGACAACGAAAAACUCACAAGAGAAAUAAAAAGCUGAGAUGAGGACAUUGUAUUUGUUACUUGCACUUGGUCUGUUGUGUGCAGUGGUAUAUUCAAUACCAGUCGAAAAUGAUCAACCCUUGGAAAACGAGUUGAAAGAAGAGAAUGAUGAAAAUGGUUUGGAAGGAAACGAUGAAGACGACGUCGUUGGCGAAGUUCAGGCAGAUCCUUUGGCCUACAUUAGUUUUCAGCGCAUGGGCAAACCGUUUCGCAGAAGACGUAGACGUAGAAGAAGACGUUCUUAACUUGGAUAAAUACCACGUGAUGAUCAGCAAAAGACUGGACACACUGAAAUGAAUGGACAACAUUAAAAUGAUAACUUUUUAAAUUAGUGGCCAUUCUUUCCAAAGUGUAACUGCAGAAUCAUUAAAAAUCAUGCAUUGACUA